rnacentral:rRNA from 1 species
GACGAACUGUUCUAACGUUAUUCGGAAUCACUGGGCUUAAAGGGCGCGUAGGCUGUUUGUUAAGCGGGGUCUGAAAUCCCUCGGCUCAACCGAGGAACUGGGCUUCGAACUGGCAGACUAGAGUGAAGUAGGGGUAAGCGGAACUUGCGGUGGAGCGGUGAAAUGCUUUGAUAUCGCAAGGAACACCGGCGGCGAAGGCGGCUUACUGGGCUUCAACUGACGCUUAAGCGCGAAAGCUAGGCUAGCGAACGGGAUUAGAUACCCGGGUAGUCCCUGAGCGGGCUGG